rnacentral:misc_RNA from 1 species
UAUAGGUUUAAAGGCAAUUAAGCCCAUUAAAAUGACAUUCUGUGACAUACUAUAGGGUAUAUAGAAAAACAUAGACCGGAAAAUGUAAGGAAAGCCGGCUUGCGCACAGCAGUCCUCAAAACCGAGUUUCCUCGAGAGGUAUUCCAAAGUCUACAAAAAGUGCACAGGUGGUAAGAAAAGUUGGUGUCAGGUGUGCACAUGCCCCGAAGAGCCAGCAACAACCUAACCAAGCUUAUUCAAUAAUGAUCCUUCCGCAGGUUCACCUACGGAAA